rnacentral:rRNA from 1 species
GAGUUUGAUCCUGGCUCAGAUUGAACGCUGGCGGCAGGCCUAACACAUGCAAGUCGAGCGGUAGAGAGAAGCUUGCUUCUCUUGAGAGCGGCGGACGGGUGAGUAAAGCCUAGGAAUCUGCCUGGUAGUGGGGGAUAACGUUCGGAAACGGACGCUAAUACCGCAUACGUCCUACGGGAGAAAGCAGGGGACCUUCGGGCCUUGCGCUAUCAGAUGAGCCUAGGUCGGAUUAGCUAGUUGGUGAGGUAAUGGCUCACCAAGGCGACGAUCCGUAACUGGUCUGAGAGGAUGAUCAGUCACACUGGAACUGAGACACGGUCCAGACUCCUACGGGAGGCAGCAGUGGGGAAUAUUGGACAAUGGGCGAAAGCCUGAUCCAGCCAUGCCGCGUGUGUGAAGAAGGUCUUCGGAUUGUAAAGCACUUUAAGUUGGGAGGAAGGGCAUUAACCUAAUACGUUAGUGUUUUGACGUUACCGACAGAAUAAGCACCGGCUAACUCUGUGCCAGCAGCCGCGGUAAUACAGAGGGUGCAAGCGUUAAUCGGAAUUACUGGGCGUAAAGCGCGCGUAGGUGGUUUGUUAAGUUGGAUGUGAAAUCCCC